UCAGGCUGUCUAGUCACAGAGGAAGGCUGUGCUUCUCUGGUCUCAGCUCUGAGGUCAAACCCCUCACACCUGAGAGAGCUGGACCUGAGCUACAAUCACCCAGGAGACUCAGGAGUCAGACUGCUCUCUGCUGGACUGGAGGAUCCACACUGCAGACUGGAGAAACUCAAUGUGGAACAUGGUGGAGAGAACAGAAUAAAACCUGGACUUAGAAAAUAUGUCUGUGAUCUCACACUGGACCUAAACACAGUAAACAGAUUCCUCUCUCUGUCUGAGGAGAACAGAAAGGUGACAUGGAGGAGAGAGAAGCAGCCGUAUCCUGAUCACCCAGAGAGAUUUGAGGUCUGUUCUGCUCUGACAACAGUUACUCUGCCUGUCACAAUAAUAAUCCCACUACCAUAGACGUCUGCCCCUCCAGCCCCCACAGAGUAGGAGUGUAUCUGGACUGGCCAGCUGGAACUCUGUCCUUCUAUAGAGCCUCCUCUGACACACUGACCCACCUGAUCACAUUCACCUCCAAUUUCACUGAGCCCCUCUAUCCAGGGUUUUGGGUUUGGGAGGAUGGCGACUCAGUGUCCCUCUGUCACACACAAGACUUUGUUAUGGCCAAGACUUUGUUGUGACAUCUUCUGAUUGGGUGUCUCAGGUCAGGACUUUGUUAUGACAUCUUCUGAUUGGGUGUCUCAGGUCAGGACUUUGUUAUGGCAUCUUCUGAUUGGGUGUCUCAGGUCAGGACUUUGUUAUGGCAUCUUCUGAUUGGGUGUCUCAGGUCAGGACUUUGUUAUGACAUCUUCUGAUUGGGUGUCUAUGACAUCUUCUGAUUGGGUGUCUCAGGCCAGGACUUUGUUAUGGCAUCUUCUGAUUGGGUGUCUCAGGUCAGGACUUUGUUAUGACAUCUUCUGAUUGGGUGUCUCAGGUCAGGACUUUGUUAUGACAUCUUCUGAUUGGGUGUCUCAGGUCAGGACUUGUUAUGG